UCUUUCUCUCUCUCACGGGUACUUAGGAUUACUCAUGAUCAACGCCUGCCACAUGAAGAGACCUUCAAAUGCAAUGCUUUCAAAGGAGAAUCGCACCUCCUCUUCCACAGGCUAAUUGUACAGUGAUCACCCACUCUUGUCACUACAGGCAAUGGAGGGCCCAUAUCCAAACUCACACAUAAUCUCUCCUCCUUGGCACAAUCCCCACCACAAAACCUAAUAGCCUGACCAUCUUCUACCUGUUUUCCCUUACCUGAAAACAUCUUCUUGAGCCUCUUGGCUAUUUUCCGAGCACCGCCUCGCUUAAUAACACCAUUAUUCU
rnacentral:lncRNA from 1 species